UAAACACAGCUUCCACUUGGACUACCCAUUUCCCAUAAAGUCCAAUAUCUACAGGGAGAUCUAGAGAGGUGGAGAUGCAUACAUUAGUCAGAUGUCUACGUUAUGGGGGUAGUGGUCAAAAUAGUAAUCUCUUAAUCUCUCAUUAUGAAUUUGACAGCGUAUUUAAGAGGCGGUAUCACCAUAAGUGAGGACAGACUGCUCCUCUACAAACACUGACGUCUGCAACAGUUUGCGCCAAAAUAUGCUGCCAUAAAAUUACCACAGUUGUCGUCACUCAGGUACGUUUUAGGGUAAGUAAAUAGCCCAUAGCAACUUAUUCUCUAAACAUAACCACCGGAGCAGCUUCUGUUUCAGUGUUAGAUUACUUCAGCGCAUGCGUGACCUAUUGACGAGACUCCUGUGGGCGUGGCAGACUGCACAAUAUAAAAUUUUUGUACAAUAUAUGUAGUUAUAUAAUAUACCAUAUUACAUAUAUAUAUAUUACAUACGCUCUUUUGAGACUUCUUGUGUGUUAACCGUGAUUAUAUUCUGAGUUCAGGUGUGUUUUUGGAACCAGCAUACUUCAAGUAAGCAAGGUUUGGAUUAGUCAACCGAGAGUUCAGGGUAUAUGUUAAGACUCUGGCAGGUGGUAGUGACAGUUGCUCUGUGGUCAAGAAGCUUCUUCUUUCUGCGACGAUGGGGGAGACAGAGGCAUGCUUAUUUUCACCUGUUGCUCCUGCUGGGACCUGGAUUAAACACUGGCUGUCCACACACUUCAGGCCUAAACACUCACUGGAGGAAGGUUCCCAAAGUGAGCGCUGCUCAUCUCACCCAUUUUGCACCAGAAAGAGUCUUGUGGUGGCCCUUCUGGUCAUUUUGGCCUUGGUUGUCAUGAUGCUGCUUCUACUGCUGAAUUAUUAUUGUAUUAUGGUCUGGCACCUGUGUAAACAUGAAGAGUCUGUUCUCCCAGUAUUUCAAAACACUACGCCAGAGCUGGACUGGCAGGACUGAGAUGUUACACAUUUGAUUGUUUUUGUUUUAAUAUUUGGUGCACCCAUCUGGGAUGCAUUUAUGUUUUAUGCUGCUGUGUUUUUUGUUUGAUGAACUGAAAUAACACUCAAAAUCUCCAUUGUGAGAUUUUUCAGUGGAUGUGUGAUUUUAAAAUGAAAUUAUUUACACUGUCAGGUUACUCAGUUGACCUUUUAGUUUUGUAUUUAUUCAAAUGACUUCCUAGGUUUACCAUUACAUGGUCUUGAAAAUUGUAUUGUAAAUUUUAAUUUGCAGAGUCACUGUAUUUAUCCAUCUAUUUUAAAUAGUUGAACUUUAUCUAGUGAAGCUUGAAAUGUAGUUAAAUACUGUUCAUAAAAGCAGUUAUUGUUCAAGCUUUCCAAGUAUUUCUAGGUAAAUGUUUUCAUUUCUCUUUUUAAGCUAAUACAAACUCAUAUCACUCAGUCAUAUUACUCAGUACAUGUUUUUAUUGAACUGACUGUAUUGUAAACACUAAAUCAAAAACACAACCUUUGCCAUAUAUUUGAAACCUUGUUCAAUUUAAGUUCUAAGAAUUUUUAAGAUGACAUUUGGCCUUAAUUUAGUAAUUCUGUUUUGUCAUAAAAUAAGCAUUACUGCUCCAUUCAUUACUGAUCCAAUUCAAGUGCACAGUAACUGAUUAUGGAUGAUGUCACACAUUUCUUCAUUUCUUUUCCCCACAGUCCUCCCUUUUCCACACCAAAAGGGAAGUUCCUAUCACAUGCAGAAUAGUGCAUUGCGGAAACAAAGUAGUCCUGUUAAUACAAAGCGCCUCUGCUCUUGGCAGGAAUUAUUAUAUUCAGAGCAUGCUGUCUGUGUCAUUACACCUACAAGAAUGACUCUAGAUUCUAGUCAGCUGCACCAGUGGACACACCUUUAGGAGUCACAUUUUAAAAAGAUAACAGAAGAAGAUUUUUGGAAUGUUUGGAACACUCCCUUAUUCUACAAAAAGGUCAUAAUUAGUGCAGGACAUAUUGUGGUUCUACUAACAAUAUAUUCUUCAGCAAUUAUUAUUAAAACAACAGCUAUUCUACAUCUGUCUGUAUUUCUAAAUCGUCUUUAUAGCAAUAAAACAUUUUAAACCAUUUGUAUUUCUUAUUAUUCUAAAGAAACUCUUUACGCAAACUCAAGCUGAAGCAGUAAAUUCUUGGAGAAUUUUAUUAUCAUCAUUUACUGUACAGACUGUAAAAUAAAUGGUUCUACUGUUACUGUUUUUGUCAGAGGGGCUUCUGUGUACAGGAGAAGUCUGUACUCUUGUGAAGGAACAGGGCAGGGGGAAGGGUUGCUCUUGGUCCUUCACUAUCAUUUUCACUAGGCAAACCCCAACUUUACUGAUGGAUAAACUGUUUGUUAAGUUUGUUGUCUCAGUGGCACUCUUUCUGUUUGGAAUCGUGUCUAUUCUACUCCUGACUGUAUCUAUACAUGAAAUAAAAGAGCCACCGGAGUACAUGGUA